rnacentral:rRNA from 1 species
CCUACGGGAGGCUGCAGUGAGGAAUAUUGGUCAAUGGACGAGAGUCUGAACCAGCCAAGUAGCGUGAAGGAUGACUGCCCUAUGGGUUGUAAACUUCUUUUAUAUGGGAAUAAAAUGUUCCACGUGUGGGGUUUUGUAUGUACCUUAUGAAUAAGGAUCGGCUAACUCCGUGCCAGCAGCCGCGGUAAUACGGAGGAUCCGAGCGUUAUCCGGCUUUAUUGGGUUUAAAGGGAGCGUAGGUGGAUUGUUAAGUCAGUGGUGAAAGUCUGCGGCUCAACCGUAAAAUUGCAGUUGAAACUGGCAGUCUUGAGUACAGUAGAGGUGGGCGGAAUGCGUGGUGUAGCGGUGAAAUGCUUAGAUAUCACGAAGAACUCCGAUUGCGAAGGCAGCUCACUAGACUACAACUGACACUGAGGCUCGAAAGUGUGGGUAUCAAACAGGAUUAGAUACCCUUGUAGUC